GCUUGGUUAGCUCAGUUGGUAGAGCAUCAGAAUUUAAAUCUUAGUGUUAGAAAUCAAGUCCCUAUUUACGCG
rnacentral:tRNA from 1 species